UUACAGAAUACCUUUUAGUUUUAAUGGAUCAUUCUGUUUUAUUAAACUCAUUGAUGAAUUAAGAGCUGGAAGGACCCUUGGGAGGGUCUGAGCUCAGUGAUUACAAGAGGGAAAAAACUUGUUUAGAGAGGUUUAGUGACUUACUUAUGUAGACAGGCAAACAGCUGCCUUGUGAUGUGGACAAAACCAGAUAGCACUGCCCAUCCUUCCCAGUCAACGCUCAUUCCAAGAUACCAAUUCCUGUUUUAAGAAAAAGAUGAAUAGUGAUGCUGGCCACUUGCCCUUCAGGUCUUACCUAGUAUUCCUUCAGUUACCUGUUUGAGCUCACCAAGUUCAAUCAAUAUACAUCUUCCAUCUUUCAUAGCCUCCCAACCCAUCCUAGCCCAUCAAUCUUACAGCACUCAGGCUGUAUUCUGACCUCAAGUUUAAAAGGCAUCACAGAGCCAUCAGUGGUAAUUAACAGCCUCCCACGUUGUAUUCCCAGAGUUUUAUGAACAAUUACAGAGCUGGGUGAAAUUAUUUCCUGGGUGAAAAUAGUCCCGUAUUUCUGUGGCUUUCAUUGAGAAGUGUUUGGUGAAGAUUUUAGUCCUACCUCCUGCUCCAAUACUUUGGCCACCUGAUGUGAAGAGCUGACUCAUUGGAAAAGACAGAGCAGGAGAAGGGGGCGGCAGAGCAUGAGAUGGUUGGAUGGCGUCACCGACUGAAUGGACUACAGCACUGGUGGGCAGAAGAAUUCAGAAGAAAUGGCAUGUCAUGUAUGAGCACAAAAAGAACAGGGGCAGGCCCUGAAGUUAUGUCAAAGAAUUUCGGAAACGCAGAAGCGUUUGUG
ensembl:lncRNA